rnacentral:rRNA from 1 species
UGAGGAAUAUUGGUCAAUGGGCGCGAGCCUGAACCAGCCAAGUAGCGUGAAGGAUGAAGGUCCUAUGGAUUGUAAACUUCUUUUAUAGCAGAAUAAAGUGACCCACGUGUGGGUUUUUGUAUGUAUGCUAUGAAUAAGGAUCGGCUAACUCCGUGCCAGCAGCCGCGGUAAUACGGAGGAUCCGAGCGUUAUCCGGAUUUAUUGGGUUUAAAGGGUGCGUAGGCGGAAAGAUAAGUCAGCCUGUGAAAGUUUGCGGCUCAACCGUAAAAUUGCAGCUGAUACUGUUUUUCUUGAGUGUACAUAAGGUAGGCGGAAUUCGUGGUGUAGCGGUGAAAUGCUUAGAUAUCACGAAGAACUCCGAUUGCGAAGGCAGCUUACCGGGGUACAACUGACGCUGAUGCACGAAAGUGUGGGUAUCAAACA